AACGAACGCUGGCGGCAUGCCUAACACAUGCAAGUCGAACGAAGGCUUCGGCCUUAGUGGCGCACGGGUGCGUAACGCGUGGGAAUCUGCCCUUUGGUUCGGAAUAACAGCUGGAAACGGCUGCUAAUACCGGAUGAUGACGAAAGUCCAAAGAUUUAUCGCCAGAGGAUGAGCCCGCGUUGGAUUAGGUAGUUGGUGGGGUAAAGGCCUACCAAGCCGACGAUCCAUAGCUGGUCUGAGAGGAUGAUCAGCCACACUGGGACUGAGACACGGCCCAGACUCCUACGGGAGGCAGCAGUGGGGAAUAUUGGACAAUGGGCGCAAGCCUGAUCCAGCAAUGCCGCGUGAGUGAUGAAGGCCCUAGGGUUGUAAAGCUCUUUUAACCGGGAAGAUAAUGACUGUACCGGGAGAAUAAGCCCCGGCUAACUCCGUG
rnacentral:rRNA from 1 species